rnacentral:rRNA from 1 species
AGGAUUAACGCUGGCGGCGUGCCUAACACAUGCAAGUCGAACGAGGUAGCAAUACCUAGUGGCAGACGGGUGAGUAACGCGUGGUCAACCUACCGUUGAGUGGGGGAUAACUAGCCGAAAGGUUAGCUAAUACCGCAUACGAGUCUCGGGGGCAUCCCUGGGCCUUAAAAGGAGCAAUCCGCUCGAUGACGGGACCGCGUCCCAUUAGCUAGAUGGUGGGGUAAUGGCCUACCAUGGCUCCGAUGGGUAGCUGGUUUGAGAGAGCGACCAGCCACACUGGGACUGAGAAACGGCCCAGACUCCUACGGGAGGCAGCAGUGAGGAAUUUUCCGCAAUGGGCGAAAGCCUGACGGAGCGACGCCGCGUGUGGGAAGAAGGCCUUGGGUCGUAAACCACUGUCGAAGGGGACGAUAAUGACGGUACCUUGGAGGAAGCCCCGGCUAACUACGUGCCAGCAGCCGC